CCAGCAGCCGCGGUAAUUCCAGCUCCAAUAGCGUAUAUUAAAGUUGUUGCAGUUAAAAAGCUCGUAGUUGGAUUUCGGACUGGUGCGUGGUCGGUCUGCCGCAAGGUGUGUUACUGACUCGUGCUGUCUUCUUCUCAGAGUCCUGCUGUGUACUUAACUGUGCGCAGUAUCUUGGAAUUUGAGACGUUUACUUUGAAAAAAUUAGAGUGUUCAAAGCAGGCUAUUUAUUGCCGGAAUACAUGAGCAUGGAAUAAUGGAAUAGGACUGCGGUCUUAUUUUGUUGGUUUCUGAGACCAUAGUAAUGAUUAAGAGGGACAAUUGGGGGCAUCCGUAUUUCGUUGUCAGAGGUGAAAUUCUUGGAUUUACGAAAGACGAACAACUGCGAAAGCAUUUGCCAAGAGUGUUUUCAUUAAUCAAGAACGAAAGU
rnacentral:rRNA from 1 species